rnacentral:snRNA from 1 species
AGCUUUGUGCAGUGGCAGUAUCGUAAGCCAAUGAGGUUUAUCCGAGGCACGAUUAUUGCUAAUUGAAAAACUUUGUUACUUUCUUAAAUAUAUAUCUCCUUCGUAGAUUGAUUCUUUUAAAGAUGGUAAAAACUA